GUCACAUGUUCAGUGACCAGUACCUGGACAAGGAGGAGAAUAGUAAAAUAAUGGAUGUUGUUUUCCAGUGGCUUACAACUGAUAGCAUUCCUCUCAACCAGAUAGACGCAGAGGACCCAGAGAUCACAGACUACACAAUGCUGCCGGACACAGGGAGUCUGUCCGACCGUCUGAGGGUGUGUCUGCAGGAGGGAGACGAGAACCCGCGAGAUUUCACAGCUCUGUUUGACAUGUCUUUGCUAAAGCUGCACACAAACACUCUUCCCUCUGU